GGGUUGUGAGGUUAAGCGACUAAGCGUACACGGUGGAUGCCCUGGCAGUCAGAGGCGAUGAAGGACGUGCUAAUCUGCGAUAAGCGUCGGUAAGGUGAUAUGAACCGUUAUAACCGGCGAUUUCCGAAUGGGGAAACCCAGUGUGUUUCGACACACUAUCAUUAACUGAAUCCAUAGGUUAAUGAGGCGAACCGGGGGAACUGAAACAUCUAAGUACCCCGAGGAAAAGAAAUCAACCGAGAUUCCCCCAGUAGCGGCGAGCGAACGGGGAGGAGCCCAGAGCCUGAAUCAGUGUGUGUGUUAGUGGAAGCGUCUGGAAAGGCGCGCGAUACAGGGUGACAGCCCCGUACACAAAAAUGCACAUGCUGUGAGCUCGAUGAGUAGGGCGGGACACGUGGUAUCCUGUCUGAAUAUGGGGGGACCAUCCUCCAAGGCUAAAUACUCCUGACUGACCGAUAGUGAACCAGUACCGUGAGGGAAAGGCGAAAAGAACCCCGGCGAGGGGAGUGAAAAAGAACCUGAAACCGUGUACGUACAAGCAGUGGGAGCACGCUUAGGCGUGUGACUGCGUACCUUUUGUAUAAUGGGUCAGCGACUUAUAUUCUGUAGCAAGGUUAACCAAAUAGGGGAGCCGAAGGGAAACCGAGUCUUAACUGGGCGUUAAGUUGCAGGGUAUAGACCCGAAACCCGGUGAUCUAGCCAUGGGCAGGUUGAAGGUUGGGUAACACUAACUGGAGGACCGAACCGACUAAUGUUGAAAAAUUAGCGGAUGACUUGUGGCUGGGGGUGAAAGGCCAAUC
rnacentral:rRNA from 1 species